GACGAACGCUGGCGGCAGGCCUAACACAUGCAAGUCGAGCGAGCGGCGGACGGGUGAGUAAUGUAUGGGGACUGCCCGAUAGAGGGGGAUAACUACUGGAAACGGUGGCUAAUACCGCAUACUAUCGGAUAACCCAGAUGGGAUUGGCUCGUAGGUAAGGUAAUGGCUUACCUAGGCGACGAUCCCUAGCUGGUCUGAGAGGAUGUUCAGCCACACUGGGAAUGAGACACGGACCAGACGCCUACGGAGGCAGCAGUGGGGAAUAUUGCACAAUGGGCGCAAGCCUGAUGCAGCCAUGCCGCGUGUAUGAAGAAGGCCCUAGGGUUGUAAAGUACUUUCAGUCGGGAGGCGUGACCGACAGAAGAAGCACCGGCUAACUCCGUGCCAGCAGCCGCGGUAAUAC
rnacentral:rRNA from 1 species